CCUACGGGAGGCAGCAGUGGGGAAUAUUGCACAAUGGGCGAAAGCCUGCCCCAGCAACCCCGCAGAGGGAAGAAGGUUUUUAUGUUGUAAACCUCUUCCUGGGAAAAGGAA
rnacentral:rRNA from 1 species